GGGCCUUUAGCUCAGCUGGUAGAGCGCCACGUUUACACCGUGGAUGUCGUCGGUUCGAACCCGGCAAGGCCCACCGUGC
rnacentral:tRNA from 1 species